UUUAAAUGUAAAAUAUAUUGCUAAAGUAGUAAUAGUUAUGUUCUUGAAAUUUAAAGAUUUUGGCGGUAUUUUAGUCUAUUUAGAGGAACCUGUUCUAUAAUUGAUAAUCCACGAUUGACUUUACUUAUUUUAAAAAUUUGUAUACCGUCGUUAUUAGAAAAUUUUAAUAGAAUAAUAAUUUUUAAUAUUUUAAAUAAAAAUAUAUAUCAGAUCAAGGUGCAGUUAAUAUUUAAGAAGAAAUGGGUUACAAUAAAUUUAUUUAUAUGGAUUAAAGUAAUAAAUUCUUUAUGAAAGUGGAUUUAAUAGUAAUAAAAUUGAUUUAAAUUUUAUGAUUUUAGCUCUAAAAUAUGU
rnacentral:rRNA from 1 species